CUUCUCUCAGAACAACACCCUGCAAUAAGCAGAGAUAAGUCUGAGCCACAGCACCAGGUCUGGAGCCAAGCUGUUGUGUAUUUUGGCCUGCUCAGAGGGCUUGGCUGGUGAAGUUGAGACCUUGGAGCUUUAUGCUAAGCAAGAAUAAAGCAGUCUAUUGAAUAGCUGCUCACUCAUUCACUUCUGUCUGGACAUGUUCCAGAUGAGAAUGACUCCUGUAUUCUGCUGUAGAAUUUUACUCUUCCCCUAGAAAAAAACAGCAGUGAUCUAGCAGGCUUCAGGGUCCGGGAUGACCCUACAGAGGUACGAGCAUGUCCUGCGUGUGACAGAGGAACCUUUAACCUGGUACUGCUGACUGUGUAUGCUACACCUCCUCAUGUUUACAACAAGCAGAGGUGAAAACAGUGGGAUCCAUUGGUCCUUACUCCUUCUGCUCCUUACUCCUUCAUCAUUCAGGUCUGAUGCUGUUGGAGGAGCAAGCAAACGGGCACAGAGGUUUAACCAUGAACUCUACAUUGAUGACAUCAAGAUCCACAGCAGCUUUAAGGAAAGUAAUUCCCUUUCUUGCUCCCAUGCUGGUUUGUAUCUGCACAAGCAGAUGCUAUCUUUAUGUGGGUGCAAAUGAGGAACCCUUGGUGCAUCAGCCCGUCUUGCACUGCUGCUUCUCUGAGCUGGCAGAGUGAUAAACAGCAGAGUUCAAAGUACAGCUCUUUCGGAGGUCAGUGGCUUGAAUCAGAUCUUGGCCUAAUCAGUUUUUCAUAUUGACACUCUUUGAGAUAAGAGAGAAGAUGCCCCUGAACUUUGAUGUCUGGUAAAAGACACAUGCCAGGCAGUGGAUUAUACAAAGAAACAUUAAUCUCCACUGUUUUGGACUCUGGGAUAAGAUAGCCAGGCUGCAGUCAGAACAAGAUAAGGCCCCUGUCUGAAAGCUUGGCUUAUCAAUAUAGUUAGCAAGUUAUUUUGCCUACAAGUAAUUAAUGUAAUUCCAGCUGAUUAUUUUGUUUAUAAUUUUCUGUUUUGCAGGGAGUAGUCCUUAUCCAUAGUAAGGCAGAGUUCAGUCACAAUUGCAGGUGCAGGGGUUUGAGCUAUGGAUAAAGUACUACAUCACGAGAUUGAGUUUAGGUCCUUGUCUGAGGGCUGGAUCAGAGACUGUAAGAGUCUGUAUUUACUACAUCCAAAAGUAUCAUGGCCUGUCUUAAGCUGUAAGAGUGAUGCUGGCUUUGUCCCACUUGUUUAAUGGAAAGGGCACUGCAGAGCACUGAUUUUAUGAAAAGCAUGUAUAAAACAGGAUCUAGGACCAAAGUCAAAGAAAGUCAUCUGAUCUAAUAGCUACUGCAAUUGAUUCAAUACUCCCUGCAUAUUGGCCCUCUACAAAAGGAGUUUUCAUUGGGGAAUAUGACACAUGUUGAAAGUGAGUCUUACCCAAAAUCAUUUUAUCCAGCCUCAGCUAAAUAAUGCUUUACAGGGCAAUCCAAAGAGUAAUUCAGCAGAUUCAGUU